GCUUUGGUGCUUUAAAAGAAUAUUGGAACUAUGGAUGCAUUGGUUUGAUGACAUGAUCGAUAUAUGUGCUGAUUGCAUUGUGCAUUCUUUCGGGGGAAAAAAACACAAAGGUUGUUAGCCCUAAGCUGAACUCCCGAACCUGGAGAACCAGUGGACUACUCUUAGCCUGAUCUCUACCCUUUGACCUGUUUGGCAUAAAUGAACCUACCAAGAGCCAAAACCCUGACUCCAGCCAGCAUGGAGGACACAUUGAGGCACGCAAGCCUCCAAACCAUGACAAUGUCGUGAUCCUCUUUGAGGUAACUGAAGAAGUUUGGCAUGGGCCACAAAUCCUCAAGACCUUCUACAGGGGCACCAUUGAGAGCAUACUGACUGGCUGUAUCGCCACCUGCUAUGGGAACUGCACCAGCCUUGAUCACUGGGCGCUGCAGAGAGUGGUAUGGACAGCCCAGCACAUCUGUGGAUGUGAACUUCCCUCCAUUGAGGACGUUUACAGCAGCAGGUGUGUAAAGAAGGCCUGGAAGAUCAUCGGGACAACAGUCACCCCAACCAUGAACUGUCUCAGCUACUUCUGUCUGACAAAUGGUACCACAGCAUUAAAACCAGGCUUCUUUCUACAAGCCAUUAAACUUUUAAAUUCGCUCAUCUGUACAUUGUGGCAGAGUCAUAAUGCAAAAAUUUGUCAUAAUGCACUCCCUCACGUUGUGAGAUGGAUGUGAAAUUUAAAUAAAUCCAAAUGAAUUAAAUUCAAAUUCAA